rnacentral:rRNA from 1 species
CGGUAAUUCCAGCCCCAAUAGCGUAUACUAAAGUUGUUGCAGUUAAAAAGCUCGUAGUCGGAUUUCUGCGGGGACGGAGCGGCCGGUCGCAACUUGCGACUCGAGCUAGCGCUUUCCCCGCAUCCUGCCGCGAACCGUGCUACCAUUAGCUUGGUGGCGCUGGGGAUCGGCUCGAUUACUUUGAGAAAAAUAGAGUGUUCAAAGCAGGCCACACGCCUUGAAUAAGUUAGCAUGGAAUAAUGACUAAGGACUUCGGUUCUAUUUUGUUGGUGUUCGGGACUGAAGUAAUGAUUGAUAGGGACAGUUGGGGCGGUCUGUAUUCCAAAGCGAGAGGUGAAAUUCUUAGACCUUCGGAAGACAAACAGCUGCGAAAGCGUUCCGCAAGGAUGUUCCCUUUGAUCAAGAACGAAAGUUGGGGGAUCGAAGACGAUCAGAUACCGUCGUAGUCUCAACUAUAAACUAUACCAGCUAGGGAUCGGUCAACGUUUAAUCAUUCGACUUGAUCGGCACCUUAUGAGAAAUCAAAGCAUCUGGGUUCCGGGGGGAGUAUGGUCGCAAGGCUGAAACUUAAAGGAAUUGACGGAAGGGCACCACCAGCCGUGGAGCCUGUGGCUUAAUUUGACUCAACACGGGAAAACUUACCAGGUCCAGACAUAGUAAGGAUUGACAGAUUGAUAGCUCUUUCUUGAUUCUGUGGGUGGUGGUGCAUGGCCGUUCUUAGUUGGUGGAGUGAUUUGUCUGGUUAAUUCCGUUAACGAACGAGACCCCAGCCUGCUAAAUAGCGCGGCUGAGCUUUGCUCGGUGCGAGCUUCUUAGAGGGACUAUGAUGCGCGAUAGCACAUGGAAGUUUGGGGCAAUAACAGGUCUGUGAUGCCCUUAGAUGUUCUGGGCCGCACACGGGCUACACUGGCGCCUGCAACGAGCAUAUCAGCUGGCCCGAGAGGGUCUUGGCUAAUCUUUUGAACCGGCGCCGUGCUUGGGAUUGACCAUUGCAAUUGUUGGUCAUGCAACGAGGAAUGCCUUGUAAACGCGAGUCAUCAGCUCGCAUUGAAUACGUCCCUGCCCUUUGUACACACCGCCCGUCGCUCCUACCGAUGAAUGUUCCGAUGAAAUUUUCGGAGAGCGCCGGAGAACGGGGCUCUGCCUUGCAGAUCUGGAGGCUCAAAGUCACUUAAAUCUGAACAUUUCGAGGAAGGAGAAGUCGUAACAAGGUAGCCG